rnacentral:misc_RNA from 1 species
AUCCCGGUCUGUUUUCUAACAUCAGAAGGAUCUACAUGGUAGAAAAUGGGAAAAACCCGUAGGCCCAUUCUUUCCUUGCAGUCAAUUAUCUUCACCAGUUCAUCAAGACACCACCGAGAGGACGCAUAAUUUUCUGAGAAAAUUACUACAGAAAUCUUGGAUUCUUCAAUCGCUUUCAUGAGCGCUGGCGAGAUCCCUUCUCCUCUCUCAAGAACAUCGUCCAUGAAUGUCGUAAUAUUUUUCCGGCACAAAGCAGCAUGAAGAUGACUAGCAAAAUUGUGACGAGUAUCAAUUCCCCUAAAACUAAGGAAAACAUCAUAG